AUCUGAAUAGUUUAUUUAAAAUAUUGAUUUGUGGUGUCAAUGAAAUGAUUUUAUCAUUUUAGAUC
rnacentral:tRNA from 1 species